rnacentral:rRNA from 1 species
UACGGGGGGGGGCAAGCGUUGUUCGGAAUUACUGGGCGUAAAGGGCUCGUAGGCGGCCAACUAAGUCGGAUGUGAAAUCCCCCAGGCUCAACCUGGGGAACUGCAUCCGAUACUGGAUGGCUUGAAUUCGGGAGAGGGAUGCAGAAUUCCAGGUGUAGCGGUGAAAUGCGUAGAUAUCUGGAGGAAUACCGGUGGCGAAGGCGGCAUCCUGGACCGACAUUGACGCUGAGGAGCGAAAGCCAGGGGAGCAAACGGG